AGCGCGGGCUAGAGGAGCCCAACGCCACCACAAAGAGACGUCCGGGAGAAGCCUAGAGCGGACACGAGUCUGGCGGCCUCCGGGGACGGAAGGGGCGGGGCGGCGUGGCGUGGCGUGAAGUGGCAAAUGAUUCAUGGCGAGGCAAGAGUUGCUUCAGAUGCUGUCUUUUGCAGUCCUCCGAGAGGUUAGGGAUUUGGGAGGUCCCUGGGGGCCAUCUCUUACAAGACACAGUUUCCACUAAAUUGGAUCGUAUUUGUACAUCUCUACACCUGUGCGUGAUAGUAAACUUUUGCACCCAAAUACCCCGAUCCCUGAAGGAGAGUGUGUGAGUUAAAAGGAUCUGAAGAACGGACCCUUUGUUUAAGCCUUCUCCGCUGGUGGUAUACUUACGAGGACCAGAGGUGAGGUGUCAGCAAGGCGGCCCACAUGUGGAAAGCGCUUUGGGCCAAUGGUACAUACCUGCUUUAUUGGAUAGAAGCAGAGAAGUAUGCCUGGUCACAGCCAGAGCUUACUAGGUCAAGAAAUUAUGAGCUCCCCAGAAGUCUCUUGUAUGCUGUCUCCUAGUUGUGAGCACCUUUUACCAAAGUUGGUUUGAACUGGCUUGCUUGCUUCUGCAGCCAUGAGAAUCCUAGCUGGUAUGAAGAGUUACCAAGGCAGAGGAAGGGUGAAGGACAUUUCAUGGACUGCAUGAGCAAAGCCACAGAGACAUAAAAAAGCAUGGCAUGUAUAGAGAAAUAUAAAUAGUUUAGUUUUUUUUGAAACAAAAUGAGAGAGAAAGAGUGCUAAGAGCUUUGGUGAGAGAUAUGUCAUUUUAAAGAGUUUAACUCUACCCUGAAGGCAGUGAAGAGCCUUACACUGGUUUAGACAGUGAGUGACAUGGUCAGAUAUGUAGUUUAGAUAGAUCACUCUGGCAGGAGUUUCUUCAAUAGUUCUCUCUUAUCUCUGGGCUUAUCCUAUGUUCCCUCACCCAGAAACCUGGAGGAAGAAGACAGGACAUAGAAAAUGUAUUCUUUUCACUAGCCAGAGCAAAGCCCAGAGUCAUGACUUUUUAUUAUUUGCAUUUUAAUUGCUAUUUAACAGUCUGUCUUCUCUUGCAUUCUGAAAGUCCCACUGGAGCACAGGCCAUGUCUAGUUUGUUACCAUUGAAUUCCCAAUACCUAUCUUAGUACCCAGAACACAUGGCGAUUCAAUAAAAAGUUGUUAAGUGAAUAAAGGACUGAAUGAGUAAAUAAAUAGUGAUAAGGUGGAGCAGAUAAAUUCAAGAUAUAUUUUGCAAUAGUCAGGACUUGAUGAGUUUUGUAAAAUAUCCUCCUUUACUGAACACCUAUGUGCUCUGCAGGGGACGGAGUGCUUUGCAUGCAUUAUCUUAUUUAAAUUUCACAACAAUCACCUGCGUAAUAUGUACCACAGCUCUUCCUGUUUUUCAUAUGGGGGAAAAAGAAGAUUAAAGAGACCAAAUGCUAGUUUGAACCAUAUGAAAUUGCCACCUAAUAACUUGCCCAAUAUAGGUAAUGAGUCAGUAAGUACUCUGCAAACUGAAUGUGUGUUUCCUCACCAAAUUUAUGUUGAAACCUAAUCCCCAAUGUGAUGGUAUUAGGAAAUGGGACCUUUGGGAGGUAAUUAGGUCACAGAUAUAGAGUCCUGAUGAAUGGAACUAAUGCCCUUAUAAGGGGCUGAAGAGGUCAGAGUUCCUCCUUCCACCAUGUGAGAAUACACACCAAAUCUGCCAGCUCCUUGAUCUUAAACUUUCUAGUCUCAAGAACUGUGAGAUAUAAAUAUCUUUUGUUUAUAAGACAUCAGUUUAUGGUACUUUAUUAUAGUAGCCUAAAUCGACUAAGACAAAGUGGUACUGAAACAGUUGAAUAUCCAGAUGCAAAAAAGUAAACAAUGAUUUUUAAGUCAUACCAUAUACAAAAAUUAAUACAAAAUAGAUCACAUAUCCAAAUAUAUCUAAACUAUAAAAAAAGGUCUAGAAGCAAGUAUAUGAGAUAUUCAUUGUAGUUUUGGAUUACACAAAAUUUUUUUAGAUGCAACCAAAAAAACAGGAACGAUAAAAUAAAAAAAAUGAUAAAUUGGAUUUCAUGAAAAUGAAAAACUCUCACUCUUCAAAAGACACCAGUGGAAACGAAAAGAAAAGCAACACACUCUGAUAAAAUACCUGUAGACAUCUGAUAAAGAACUUGUUUCUAGAAUAUAUCAAGAACUCUUAUAAUUCAAUAAUGGUAAGACAAAUGACACAAUUUAAAACAAAAUUGGCUAAAGAUGUGAAGACAUACUUUGUCGAAGAAAAUAUAUCAGUGGCAAUGGUAUGUGAAAAGAUGUUCAAUAUCAUUAAUCAUUUAUAAAAUGCAAAUUAAAGCCACAAUGAGAUAGCACUACACAUCUACUAUAUGGCUAAAAUUUUUAAAAAUGAUUGAUAAAAUAAAGUGCUUAAGAGGAGGUAUGGAGCAAAUGACAUUCUCAUACAUUUCAGGUGGAAAUGCAAAAGGGUACAGCCACUUUGGAAAUGCCAUUUGACAAUACUUACAAGUCAUGUGCCAUGUAACAAUGUUUUGGUCAAUGACACUGUGUAUAUACAGCAGUGGUCCAAAAAGAUUAUUCCUGUAUUUUUGCUGUACCUUUUCUAUGUUUAGAUAUGUUUAGAUGCACAAAUACCUACCAUUGUGUUAUAAUUGCCUAUAGUAUUCAGUAUAGUAACAUGCUGUACAGAUUUAUAGCUUAGAAGCAAUAGGCUACAGCAUAUAGCUUAGGUGUGUAGUAGGCUAUAUACAUUUAGGUUUGUGUAAGUACAGUCUAUGAUGUUCACACAAUGAUGAAAUUACCUAACAAUGCAUUUCUCAGAAUGUAUCCCCAUCAUUAAGUGAUGGAUGACUAUAGUUUUGUUUUUAAUUAUAUCCAUGAAACCUAGCACAUUGCUUAUUAAGUGCUUAAUCAGUAUUUGUUGAAUUAAUAGACAUAUUUUAUAAUGUGUGUAUGUGUGUGUGGAUAUCAAAACAAUCCUUAAAGCUGCUGAAACUUAUUUUCUCUGUUGUGUAUAGAUUAACUUGCAGUUUUCUCAAUUAAAGAAAAGUCUCUAUCAGUG